CCGCGGUUGGCGUAGUGGUAUAACGCGUCACUCGAUUCAAGUAUUCGGGUUGAAAUCCCCGACGAACCACAGUUGAAAGACCGGCGAGUUUCAGAGGGCAGCACCAGCUACGAUAGGUAUUGAGGAAUCCCUUAGUGAAGAUCCCGGGUUCGAAUCCCGGACCGCGCA
rfam:Neurospora crassa OR74A linkage group IV, whole genome shotgun sequence.